rnacentral:lncRNA from 1 species
AUGGGAACAUAUAGCUGGAGCAGGGGGUCCCUGAGUGCUGGGAGGGGGUUGGAUUGCAUUUUAGCGUAGGGUGGUCCGAGUAGGCUUUGCUGGAAAGCAACAGUUGAGCCAAGUGUUGAAGGAGGUGAUGGAGUCACCAGGCAGCUAUUUGACGGAGGAGCCAUCCGGACAGAGGGAGCAGCCCGCGCACAGAUUGAGGCAAGAGUGUGCCUGACGUGUUCAAUGAACAGCUAAAUGGUUGGAGCAGAGUAAGUGAGAGCUAGAGUAGCAGGAAAUGUGGUCAGAGAGGUAACAGGGAGCCAGGCCGUGCAGGGCCUUGUAGGCCACUAGAAAUUCUUUGGCUUUUGCUGUACAUGAGAUCUGAAGUCCCUGAAGGCUUGCCUUCUUAGAGGAGUGACAAGUUCUGAGUUCUGUGUUGCUAGGAGCCCUGCGGCUGCUUGGUGGUGAGGAGGCUGGAGUUGGCCUCGGGGUGAAGCAGAGAGACCAGCUAAGAGGGCGCUGCCCAGUAAUCCUGGUGACAGAUGGUGGGCCCUGUGGGUGAAGUCUGUGUGCGCUUCUUGUCCUGCAGAGGGAACAAGCAGGACGAGGAGGAGAACCAGGUGUCAGCGUGAAGAAAAUGAGAGCGCUGGGGAGAACGAAGGCAGGCUGUUUCCUUCAGAAUCCAAGCACUGGCCACAACCACGUGGGUUACUCCGUGUUCAGAGCUGA